rnacentral:lncRNA from 1 species
UUCAUUUGCGAACAUAUUUACAGAAGUUAUAAUGGCGCUUCUAUGGCCACUGAAUCUGGCGCAGUUCUGGCGAUGUUGUGCGCAUUUACAGCAUUUGUGUAGGCGUGUGAUUAGCAGGUGAAAGUGUCUUUCUGUUCGUGUUCCUUCUGAUACGUGAAAGUGGUGUUUUGACAGUCAAAAACAGUCGUAGUGAACCGGCACUACGUUUGUGCAGGUUAUCAGCAGCUCAUCUGUGCAGUUAACGCAGCAAGACAACAGCAAAGGUGCCGAGCGCUCUUCAUGUUUGACAUCUUGAAGACGCAAUUGAUGCUGUCUGCUACACAAAUGCCCUGUCAUCACUUCUACGAUUGCGCCAACCGAUGAUCACAAGUGCCAUGUCUUCAUCCUAGAGAAGGGAACCGAAGAGAAGGCAAUCAUUGGCGAGAAAACUGGAUGCGUGCGUCGGCCAUGGAUAGCGGGGGUGCGAGCUUUUGGAAUUUUCAUCGAGAGAACUGCAUCUGGGUAGGUCGCAGUAGGGGCAUACAGUCGGUUUAGGAUUGUCGGUCGUCUCCAUGUCCGGAAAUUUCGGCUGCCCGAAGGUCGCCGUACGUUCGAGACGAGUACUUGAAUCGCAGGGCUGUCCGAGACAGUCGAGAGGCAAGGACCGUACGCAGCUUUACCCAACAAGUGUCGCGCAGCUUGGAGUAAGCUAAAAUGUUAAGCCCGCGCUUUUCGGCUUCGUGGGAUGCCGCUAGGGGCGGACUUGCGCAGUGGCAUAGUAAACCGAAACUACGAAUUCCCCAUAGGUCGCUUCGCCCCAAUACAGUCGUGUUAUGCGCUGAAGCAUAUCUGCCAUGCAGUGAAGCAUAGUGACGCGGCCCUCUAUGCGUUGUGCCGUCUCUAGUAAGAGUGCGAGCACCUAGGUAACUGUCGUGGAAGGACUUCAUAAUUAACGA